rnacentral:rRNA from 1 species
CAGCCGCCGCGGGAAUACGUAGGGUGCAAGCGUUAAUCGGAAUUACUGGGCGUAAAGCGUGCGCAGGCGGUUUGUUAAGACAGAUGUGAAAUCCCCGGGCUCAACCUGGGAACUGCAUUUGUGACUGGCAAGCUAGAGUGUGGCAGAGGGGGGUGGAAUUCCGCGUGUAGCAGUGAAAUGCGUAGAUAUGCGGAGGAACACCGAUGGCGAAGGCAGCCCCCUGGGCCAACACUGACGCUCAUGCACGAAAGCGUGGGGAGCAAACAGGAUUAGAUACCCCCGUAGUCCCUGUCUCUUAUAA